UACGAAGGGGGCUAGUGUUGUUCGGAAUUACUGGGCGUAAAGCGCGUGUAGGCGGCUCGGUAAGUCUGCUGUGAAAGUCCAGGGCUCAACCCUGGGAUGCCGGUGGAUACUGUCGAGCUCGAGUCCGGAAGAGGCGAGUGGAAUUCCUGGUGUAGCGGUGAAAUGCGCAGAUAUCAGGAGGAACACCAAUGGCGAAGGCAGCUCGCUGGGACGUGACUGACGCUGAGACGCGAAAGCGUGGGGAGCAAACAGG
rnacentral:rRNA from 1 species